CUAACAGGAUUCCCCUAGUAACUGCGAGUGAAGCGGGAAAAGCUCAAAUUUAAAAUCUGGCAGUCUUUGGCUGUCCGAAUUGUAUUCUGGAGAAGCGUUUUCCGCGCUGGACCGUGUACAAGUCUCUUGGAAUAGAGCGUCAUAGAGGGUGAGAAUCCCGUCUUUGACACGGACUACCAGUGCUUUGUGAUGCGCUCUCAAAGAGUCGAGUUGUUUGGGAAUGCAGCUCAAAAUGGGUGGUGAAUUCCAUCUAAAGCUAAAUAUUGGCGAGAGACCGAUAGCGAACAAGUACCGUGAGGGAAAGAUGAAAAGCACUUUGGAAAGAGAGUUAAACAGUACGUGAAAUUGCUGAAAGGGAAACGCUUGAAGUCAGUCGCGUCAUUCAGAACUCAGCCUGGCUUUUGCCUGGUGUACUUUCUGGUUGACGGGCCAGCAUCAGUUUUGACCGCUGGAAAAAGGCCAUGGGAAUGUGGCACCUUCGGGUGUGUUAUAGCCUGUGGUCAUAUACAGCGGUUGGGAUUGAGGACCGCAGCACGCCUUUAUGGUUUGGGGUUCGCCCACAUUCGUGCUUAGGAUGCUGGCGUAAUGGCUUUAAACGACCCGUCUUGAAACACGGACCAAGGAGUCUAACAUGCCUGCGAGUGUUUGGGUGGAAAACCCGAGCGCACAAUGAAAGUGAAAGUUGGGAUCCCUGUCGUGGGGAGCACCGACGCCCGGACCAGACCUUUUGUGACGGAUCCGCGGUAGAGCAUGUAUGUUGGGACCCGAAAGAUGGUGAACUAUGCCUGAAUAGGGUGAAGCCAGAGGAAACUCUGGUGGAGGCUCGUAGCGAUUCUGACGUGCAAAUCGAUCGUCAAAUUUGGGUAUAGGGGCGAAAGACUAAUCGAACCAUCUACUAGCUGGGUCUGCGAUUUCUCCCCUCAGGA
rnacentral:rRNA from 1 species